UGCGGUGAUCAUGGCUCAGGAGAAACGCCCGGUUACUUUCCGAACCCGGAAGCUAAGACCUGACACGGUGAUGGUACUGCACUCGAUAGGGUGUGGGAGAGUAGCACGUCGCCGCAU
rnacentral:rRNA from 1 species